GUGCCAGCAGCCGCGGUAAGACGUAGGUGGCGAACGUUAUCCGGAAUCAUUGGGCGUAAAGGGUGCGUAGAUGGCAUGAUAAGUUAUUAGUGGGAAAUCGAGGCUCAACCUCGUGGAAGCUAGUAAUACUGUUUUGCUUGAGUACAGAAGAGGUUAACGGAACUCCAUGUGGAGCGGUAAAAUGCGUAGAUAUAUGGAAGAACACCAAUAACGGCGAAGGCAGUUAACUAUUCUGUUACUGACAUUGAGGCACGAAAGCGUGGGGAGCAAAACGGAUUAGAUACCCUUGUAGUCC
rnacentral:rRNA from 1 species